AAUAACUGUAUCCUGUCUCUUGCAAUUCUGAAGUGUCGAACAUAAGACCUAGGUACGCUAGAUGAAAAAUCGAGAGAGCCGAAAAGGCCAAAUUUACUGCAGUGACCCACCAACAAUUAGCUGCAAUUCUUUGAUGGGAACACUUAUUAUCUGGACAUUUUUUGGAUGUUAUGCAGGCGUCAAAAACGGUCGACAAUACAGAUCUUAUUUCGAAUUCUAUGAAAAAUGGAUUUUAAAAACCUACAUGUUUUCAACCAAGAGUGCAUUGGGAUAUUCCAGGAAAUGACGACCUGAACUAGCGAUCUCGGAAAUUCAAUUUCCAUUGGUUUUGUAAUCGUAGUCCGAGCGAAUGGCAAACCCCCAAGAAGUAAAAUCGACGAUGAUGUAUAUGAUACGAAAUAAUGAGACAUUCUAAACGAUAAAGCGUCUCUGUAUGCUUGGAGCCAUCUGAAAAUAAAAUGUUUACAAUUUUAAAAUUUAUUUAUGUAAAUACAGAUUAUUUUAAGUAGUAGUGAAUGUACUGGCACGAAGAGUGCAAUGACACAUUAAAUUUCAAACAUUUUUGAAACCAUAA